GGGGCUGAUUCUGGAUUCGACGGGAUUUGCGAAACCCAAGGUGCAUGCCGAGGGGCGGUUAGCCUCGUAAAAAGCCGCAAAAAAAUAGUCGCAAACGACGAAAACUACGCUUUAGCAGCUUAAUAACCUGCUUAGAGCCCUCUCUCCCUAGCCUCCGCUCUUAGGACGGGGAUCAAGAGAGGUCAAACCCAAAAGAGAUCGCGCGGAUGCCCUGCCUGGGGUUGAAGCGUUAAAACGAAUCAGGCUAGUCUGGUAGUGGCGUGUCCGUCCGCAGGUGCCAGGCGAAUGUAAAGACAGACUAAGCAUGUAGUACCGAGGAUGUAGGAAUUUCGGACGCGGGUUCAACUCCCGCCAGCUCCACCA
rnacentral:tmRNA from 1 species